rnacentral:rRNA from 1 species
UUUUAUUUGAGAGUUUGAUCCUGGCUCAGGAUGAACGCUGGCGGCGUGCCUAACACAUGCAAGUUGAGCGAUUUACUUCGGUAAAGAGCGGCGGACGGGUGAGUAACGCGUGGGUAACCUACCCUGUACACACGGAUAACAUACCGAAAGGUAUGCUAAUACGGGAUAAUAUAUUUGAGAGGCAUCUCUUGAAUAUCAAAGGUGAGCCAGUACAGGAUGGACCCGCGUCUGAUUAGCUAGUUGGUAAGGUAACGGCUUACCAAGGCGACGAUCAGUAGCCGACCUGAGAGGGUGAUCGGCCACAUUGGAACUGAGACACGGUCCAAACUCCUACGGGAGGCAGCAGUGGGGAAUAUUGCACAAUGGGCGAAAGCCUGAUGCAGCAACGCCGCGUGAGUGAUGAAGGCUUUCGGGUCGUAAAACUCUGUCCU